CCAGUCUCUCACACAGAUGUAUCCUGUAACCAGCCCAGCUUAGGGCACAGUGGAGACAGGUGAUCUCAUCCUCUCAAACCAAGGAACGUGGGUCUCAUUGAGGCUCAGAUGGAAGGUCCCAUGCAUCUCCUGGAGACCCCCCUGCCUCAUUCAAUGCACAGGAUGGAAGUUGCAUGGAAGCUGGGGUGAAACAUUUCUAAUUCAUCAGGCCCAGACCCUUUGUGCAAUUUCGAAGGACCCCCUGAAGUCUGCAGACCCUAGUUUGAGAACUGCUGUCAUGAAUCGGUCCAGAAUUUAGCAUCAUGUGGGUGAGGAGGUUCCACUGAGUAUUAUGACCAGGUGGGCGUGGGCGAGAACACACAGAAACUGGAAACAGACAAGAACAGAAAGAGAGAGAGACAGAGGCAAAAAAAAGCAAGAAGGCACCUGUAACCAGAGUGUGAUCCUGGAAAAAGCUAGAGAGAGAGUUUUGUGUUGGCUGGACUAUAAACUAAGACACUGCUCCCUUUGUUCUGGGUGAUGUCUGCAUUCAGAGAAGCAGGACUUUGUGCAUUCCUUGUAAAUCAACAAGAAUGCAUCAAACAAAACAACAGAGUCCAUCAAUUUCUAUUUCCAACUGGAACAUCACCAGGGCUCAGAAAUUUGUCUAGCCACUUGGGUUGACAAAAGGCAACCCAGUUCCAAACAGUUUCCUUCCUCCCAGGGCUGCUGUGGGGUUAACGAGCAAACAUUUCCUAAGCACCCACAAACAGAAGGCACCAAUGUUACAUUCCUUACUGUAGUGUGCGUGUAGUAAAACCAAGGCACAGACAUGGGAACGUGAGUGCGGUGAGGGUCUGGGCUUGCUCCAGCUGACAUCAAUGGCAAAGUUCCUUUAAAUACCGGUGAUGCCGGAUCUGUCCCCAUGGGGGUGACCAGGCUGUGAAAGAUAAGCAGCUUGGCUUUUUAGAGGGUAAAUGGUCCUGAUCCUGGAGAGUCUUGGGUUUGCUAGCCAACACCCCAUUCUCUCACUUGUUACUGGUACUUAAAGUCCAGGCUAGCCUUUGAUGUAGCCAGUGCUGGCUGCAGCAAUUACUGCAUUUACUGUGUGAGUGGCAACCCCUGUUGGAUUUUCCACGCCACUAACCUUCCAUUUUUGAUGAUUCACUAGGGACUCCAGCCAAGACCUUUGUAUGGAGGCCCAAAGAAUGAGCACCACGGACCUUGCUGGGCGGAACACAAUUCUCUUCCCCAACCUAGAACCAGAUCCUGGGACCCCCUAUGUUGCUGCUCUGUGGGCUGUCAUGGCAGCUGCUGCCCCAUGCUUUCGCUGCUAAAAAGUAUUGGCUAUGGGAUUACCAUCAGUGUAAUCUGUUGGACAUGGCCCUGCCUUCUCUGUGCACUGUCAGAGGCAGACCUUCUGUGGGUUACACAACUCCUGGGGCUCGUGGUCCUCAACAGCCCAGGGGAAGGUCAACCUAGAUCUGAGCAAAAACUGGAGUUUCUGUCUUGCAAGAAAUUCUGGUAUUUCCACAUUUGGUUGGUUGGGUACAGAGCAAAAGACACAACACUUUCCCUUCUAGGUCACUGGCUGCUAGUCAGCUCAGGUCAGUAAAGAGUGCAAGCCACUGUAGGAUGACUGUAUAAGUUGGUGGGGGGCGAUGCUCUAUCAGAAAGCUGGCUCCAGCACUAACAAACUAGCCUUGACAAAGUCCUCAUUCAUUUCUCUUCAUUUAGUUGACUCUAUUCCAAGCUGUGAGUGAACCAGAGGAACAGAUAAAAGCACUGUGAUCACAAAUGGUUUAUUUCUCAUGUUAGCACGCAUGGUUUCAUGUGGUUUUUCGGUGACAUACAGACACCUGAUGAAAGCAGCCUCUUUAAAUACAAUGAUUAACUUCAAAAUACA